rnacentral:misc_RNA from 1 species
UUAUCAGAUCAAAACCAAUUGGUGACUCUAGAUAA